GGUGAAGAACGUAGCGAAAUGCGAUAAGUAAUGUGAAUUGCAGAAUUCAGUGAAUCAUCGAAUCUUUGAACGCACAUUGCGCCCGCCAGUAUUCUGGCGGGCAUGCCUGUCUGAGCGUCAUUUCAACCCUCAUGCCCCUAGGGCGUGGUGUUGGGGAUCGGCCAAAGCCCGCGAGGGACGGCCGGCCCCUAAAUCUAGUGGCGGACCCGUCGUGGCCUCCUCUGCGAAGUAGUGAUAUUCCGCAUCGGAGAGCGAUGAGCCCCUGCCGUUAAACCCCCAACUUUCCAAGGUUGACCUCAGAUCAGGUAGGAAUACCCGCUGAACUUAAGCAUAUCAAUAAGCGGAGGA
rnacentral:misc_RNA from 1 species